UACGAAUGGGGCAAGCGUUGUUCGGAAUCACUGGGCUUAAAGCGUAUGCAGGUGGACUUACAAGUCAGAAGUGAAAAUCCCCCGGGCUUAACCCGGGAAUUGCUUUUGAAACUGUCAGUCUUGAAUCCCGGAGAGGUUAACAGAAUUCCGAGUGUAGAGGUGAAAUUCGCAGAUAUUCGGAGGAAUACCAGUGGCGCAAGCGGUUAACUGGACGGGCAUUGACACUCAGAUACGAAAGCGUGGGUAGCAAACAGG
rnacentral:rRNA from 1 species